CAGCAACGCAGUCUUGGUGAUGAAACCUUCCCCAGGAUUGAGAGGUUGCAUCUAACCUUGAAGUCAGAGGUGUCUUGGUUCACAUCUAGCUCCCUCCGGGCUGUGAGACCUUUGGUUAGCUAGAAGAGUUUAAUGGGGUUUGACUCUGUCACUCAGAGACGCUAACACUAUUUCAUGGGUGGCCAUGGUGGUUUUAAAUAAGCCAAUGCACGUGAAGCCUCUAUUGAGUCCGCACUCCAGGAUUCUGACUUCAGAGCCUACGCUGGAGUUAUACUGAAGGACUUGGAAUAAACUGAAGUUGGAAAUCACAUUAGGAUUUCAUAGAAGGUCCUAGGCUAAGUAUUGAUAACAGACAUGAAGAUAAGGAUACAGUCCCUGCACAGGACAGCCCUAGACUUGAUGGUGUGAGAAGACAAAGAAGACGUAUAUUUUCCAGGAAGGUAAGAUAAAAAGACAAGACAGAAUCCCAGGCCUACCUACCAACCAGCAGCCUCUUCUCUCGCUGAGCUGGAAUCCCAGUUUGAAGACGGGGACUUCCAAUUUCAUGUGUUUGCCAGAUUCCCUCAUCCGUGACUUGUGAACACCCGAGAGUCAAAGAAAGAGUCCUCAUGCUUUUUCUGAGACCUUCUGGACCCAGCACUCACAUGCUGACUGGCUGAUCGCUGACCUGCCCCGUGUUUUUAUGAGGAGCUUGAUAAUUGCAGAAUCGUCCUGUCCACCCUGUUGGAUCAUCACAGAGGAGCUCAGAUAGCAGCUCUGGAGCCAUUUGAUGGAGACAUACACAGCUCAUUUCCCAACUUCAACACAGUGGCUAUUUUGCUUCUCAGAGUAGCAA
ensembl:lncRNA